rnacentral:rRNA from 1 species
GUCGAACGCUGGCGGCAUGCCUAAUACAUGCAAGUCGAGCGAACAGAUGAAGUGCUUGCACUUCUGACGUUAGCGGCGAACGGGUGAGUAACACGUAAGGAAUCUACCUAUAAGCGGGGGAUAACAUUCGGAAACGGGUGCUAAUACCGCAUAAUAUCUUCUUCCGCAUGGAAGAAGAUUGAAAGACGGCUCUGCUGUCACUUAUAGAUGACCUUGCGGUGCAUUAGUUAGUUGGUGGGGUAACGGCCUACCAAGACGAUGAUGCAUAGCCGACCUGAGAGGGUGAUCGGCCACAUUGGGACUGAGACACGGCCCAAACUCCUACGGGAGGCAGCAGUAGGGAAUCUUCCGCAAUGGGCGAAAGCCUGACGGAGCAAUGCCGCGUGAGUGAAGAAGGCCUUCGGGUCGUAAAACUCUGUUAUAAGAGAAGAACAAAUUGUAGAGUAACUGCUACAGUCUUGACGGUAUCUUAUCAGAAAGCCACGGCUAACUACGUG